CACCGCCCGUCACAUCACGAAAGUGAGUUGUACUAGAAGUCGCCAAGCUGACCGCAAGGGAGGCAGCCGUCGAAGGUGGGGUCAGCGAUUGGGGUG
rnacentral:rRNA from 1 species